rnacentral:rRNA from 1 species
AGAGAGAGACAUGCGCGCAUAUCAAUAAGCGGAGGAAAAGAAACUAACAAGGAUUCCCCUAGUAACGGCGAGUGAAGCGGGAAGAGCUCAAAUUUGAAAUCUUAAAGGGUUUCCCUUUACGAAUUGUAGUUUAAAGAAGUGUUUUCUGUUGAGGUUUUGGUAAAAGUUCUUUGGAAUAGGACAUCAUAGAGGGUGAGAAUCCCGUAUUUGACCUUUACUUUCAACUUUGUGACUACACUUUCAAAGAGUCGGAUUGUUUGGGAAUGCAGUCCAAAAUGAGUGGUAAAUUUCAUCUAAAGCUAAAUAUUGGCGAGAGACCGAUAGCGAACAAGUACCGUGAGGGGAAGAUGAAAAGAACUUUGAAAAGAGAGUUAAACAGUACGUGAAAUUGUCAAAAGGGAAGCGUUUGACACCAGUGUUGUUUUUCUGAAAAUCAAUUAAAGAACUGUUUAUGCUAAGUUGUUUAGACUUUAUCAGCUAUCUGUUUAGUUUUGAGCUUUUCUUUAAUGCACUUUUCAGUUAACAAGUCAACAUCAAUUUCUUUUGCUGUAAAAAAGCUUGAGGAAGGUGGCUUGAGAUUCGUCUUAAGUGUUUAUAGCCUCUUGCCUAUGCAGUCGGAGAGAUUGAGGUCUGCAGCGUAGAUCCUUCGGGGCUAAAUGCAUUUGUGCUAAGUUAUAGCAUUUUAUAGACAACUUGUUGACUAUGAUUUGUCUUGUAGCUUACUCGCUUAUGUUAUUUUACCUACGCUUAGGAUGUUGACGCAUGAGAUAUACGC